rnacentral:lncRNA from 1 species
GAUUUGGCAGUACCUUGACGAUAUUGAUGAUUGUUCUAUUGAAUGUGCCAAGGAUAUUGAGAAAUAUACCACAAAUGUUAAUUCUCAACGGGUGUAUAUGUUUUGGCUGGCCUUGAUUAAUUGAAUAGGGUUGGAGGUUGAGUACUUGCUACAAAACGACUUCUAAAUAUACAAAAUGCUGUUUCUGAGGAAGAUAAUCAUCAAGAUGCCAUGUUUGGAGGAACAACUAGAGAAACGGCUGUGAUGGCAUCUAGGAAAAUGCCUAUAUCAAAGAAAGAUCGGAAAUGUACUCUCUGUAAGAGUACAAGUCAUACCAUGGACACUUGCUUCCAAACUCAUGGAUAUCCAUAUUAGCAUCCAAAACCCAAGAAGGCAUCUCAGGUGUUCUCUAGUGUUAAACAAUGGACCCCUAAGUAGAAGCCCAUUUCUCCACUGAUUUGCAUGCACUAAAAAUUCCAAUCCCAAUCCCAGCUAUUAAUAGCCCAAAACAAAGGAAAAAGAAAUUAAAUGGGGCUAG